UUAAUAAUUAAAGAGUACUUGAUUUUAUAUUUCGUGGUUGAUGUUUCAGCACUUUAGCUUUGUAAAUUAAUCAGAUAUCUGUAAAAACCAAGAUCUUAGACAAGUGUAGUAAACAGAACUAGCCAUCUCUUUCUUGUUGAAGAAAAAUCCUUCUACAGGAUACCAAGAUGGUCCCAUUGUGAUAUAUUUGACAACUCCUCUUUAAAAAGCCAUGGGCUACAUUUUUGUAUUGUAUCAACAUAUGCCCUAAAUGUUCUUGAUCUUACUGGGGUGCCUCCUUCCUCUAAUAAUUUCUCUUCCUCAGGGGUAAAAAACUUUAAACCUUGAGUCAACCAUUUUCCCCAGUUUGCCUGAGAAAGUUCUAGGGACAGGCAACUUGAAAUAAAAACAAAAUAAAUCAAAACAAGAACACAUUGUUUUUUGAAAUGGUCACCCAUUCUUUUGCUCUCCUUCAGGGGUGAGCAAUUUCACUUACCUCCAAGCUUCAGGCGUUCCACGUAAGGGCCACCAAAUGCCGCAAUCUGGCUGGGCACAAAUAACCAAGCCGCCAAACAGCCUUGUAGGUUCAAACAGCAACUCUUUAUUCCCAAACUCUCACCGGUACUCUACACACACUACCUGGGAAUACACUCCCUCCACCGGGCUCCGCGUGCUAAUUCUCCCAGAACCCCGUGAGAACUCAACGGGAACUCCAAAGUAGCAGAGCCCGAGGCAGCAGGAUCUGCCCUAAUCCCAGUAGGAUCCACCCUAAUCCCUGAGAUUCCCUAUUCCCUGAGCCUCCAUAAUCCUGGAGCAGGGUCACCUUUCAACCAUUCCCUCUAGCAAAAUGCCAGGCGUCAUUCCGACUAAACUGUGGCUCUCAACACAGGGGAGGCCUACUGUCCACUCCACAGGAGGUUGGGGAGGGUGGGUUUUCAUGUUUCCUCUGUAAACCACAGGAUUUCACUGGCCUGAGUUUUUUUGUUGUUCUUAUUUUUCAAGAUUCCUGCACUUUUUGGAUGGUGUAAAUUGACUCUGCACCUAAGCUAUGUCUAAAAGUAGUGUUUUGACUUUUCCUUGGAGACUUGAAAAUUAUAUCUUGCCCAGAUCCCAAGGCAAGAGAAACCUCCUGCCACUCCUUGGGUCCAGAGGACGACCUCUCUUCCUGCCUUCUGUGCUCAGGUGGAGUGGUGAGCUCUCGGCUCCUGCACGUUCUGUUUGAUGAUGCCAGGGUUGGGAUUCUGCAAACCACAUUCCCCCUCUGUCACUAAAAUGGAGGAGGCUCCUCUCUCCUUUAGCUUUUGCUCAUCAGGUUCUCUGAGUGAGGAUGGAAGGGGAGUGAGGGAGGACACUCCCACUUCCUGUCUACUCCAUUCCUGAAGCAUCACUCCAGCCAUGAUCUCAUUGUGGCUAGCCAUGGUUCUACUCCUGGCUUAUUUUCCCACCACCAAUAACACCCUUAUUGUACCCAGAGACACCAGUACCAGCUGGCAGCACCCCUUCCCAAGACUGGGUCUUGGCUCUGUGGGGACCCUCCUCCAAGUUCUACUGAGCUCACUAUUGGACAGGAACACAUGGAUCUAGAUAAAUAGCUAGUUGUGGUGGGCAGCUUCAAAGAUGGCCCCUGUUAGCACAAAACAACUGAGCCCCAUGAAAACUUCACAGAUCAGCACAGUCUUUAUUCAGUGGCAGAGUCAUGCAUCUGACGGACUCAAUUUCCUGAUGGAAAAUAAGCCACUGGCCAAAGGGGGAUUCUGUGCUUAUAUAUCCUACACUGAGAAGUGACUUAAUUAUUGACAGAGCGGGUCAGUUUGGGCUCUCAGGAAACAGGUUUGUGAGAAUUUUAAAUUUGUUUU
rnacentral:lncRNA from 1 species